rnacentral:rRNA from 1 species
UACGAAGGGCCCGAGCGUUGUUCGGAAUCACUGGGCGUAAAGGGAGCGUAGGCGGUUUGGUAAGUCAGAUGUGAAAUCCCGGGGCUCAACCCCGGAACUGCAUCCGAUACUGCCAGACUUGAGCAAUGGAGAGGUAGCUGGAAUUAUCGGUGUAGCAGUGAAAUGCGUAGAUAUCGAUAGGAACACUCGUGGCGAAAGCGAGCUACUGGCCAUUUGCUGACGCUGAGGCUCGAAGGCUAGGGGAGCGAAAGGG